rnacentral:rRNA from 1 species
GGACUACCGGGGUUUCUAAUCCCGUUCGCUCCCCGCGCUUUCGCGUCUCAGCGUUAGUAACGGACCAGGGCGCCGCCUUCGCCACGGGUGUUCCUCCUGAUCUCUACGCAUUUCACCGCUACACCAGGAAUUCCACGCCCCUCUUCCGUCCUCAAGCCUGCCAGUCUCGGGCGGCAUCCCGGGGUUGAGCCCCGGGCUUUCACACCCGACUUAGCAGGCCGCCUACACGCGCUUUACGCCCAGUAAAUCCGGACAACGCUCGCCCCCUACGUAUUACCGCGGCGGCUGGCAC